AUACACUAAGAGGGCUAGCUGAUUUCACUAAGAGAGAACCAAGUAUUCAUAUUCUCUAAAGUCUUCCAAGGUGUCUUGGUGAUUUGUGAUUCCAUUUGAGGCUUCCACACUAUUGGGGCUAAGCUCUUAAAGCUUGAAGACAUCAAGCUACAUCAAAAGGUAUGUCAUCUAACUAGUACUUUGUAGUAUAAGAACUUCAUAAUAUGCUAGUUAUGAUUAAAGCCUUGGAAAGUUCUUAUUUGCAUGUAUUAUAGAGAAAACAUAGAUCCAAGGUUUAUAGGGUUGCAUGUACACCAUAGGAGUGUUAGAAUGCUCAAAACCCAACAUAAACCACAUAGGGUUGCAUAUAAGGGGUGUAGGGCCUCACUUGGGAGUUUAUGGUCCAUAUGGUAUGAACCACAUGAGUUUACGGCCCAAAGACCAUUUCCUCAUGAGUUUUCGGCCGUAAACUCAUGGUACUAUGUAUCAAGUUGUGGUUUAAGGUCUUAUAAGUCAAUAUGAAGUGUUCUAUGAUCAAGUCUAAGUCCUAGGAAGGAAUGGUGGCACCAUUGCACCACUAACUAGUGUUCACGGCCUAAGGACCAUUUCCCCAUGAGUUUACGUCCGUAAACUCAUGGUAUCUUGUACCAAAUCAAAGUUUAAGGUCCCUAGCUUAUGAUUGAAGUGUUUUAGACUUGAUCCUAAGGCUUGAGAAGAGAUUAGGGCUCACUUAGACCCUUAAAUAGAGUUUACGACCUAAGAAGGUUCUUUGGAACACUCAAACUGACUCCAAAAUUGCUACAAUUUAGCAAUUGAAAGUUUGACUUUGAUUGAAUGCAGGGAUUGAUAUAAGAUAGAAAUUUCGAGNGGUAUGUCAUCUAACUAGUACUUUGUAGUAUAAGAACUUCAUAAUAUGCUAGUUAUGAUUAAAGCCUUGGAAAGUUCUUAUUUGCAUGUAUUAUAGAGAAAACAUAGAUCCAAGGUUUAUAGGGUUGCAUGUACACCAUAGGAGUGUUAGAAUGCUCAAAACCCAAC
rnacentral:lncRNA from 1 species